rnacentral:rRNA from 1 species
AACGAACGUUGGCGGCGUGGAUUAGGCAUGCAAGUCGAACGAAUGUCAGUUUUGUAGCAAUACAGAGCUGGCGGAAGUGGCGAAAGGGGCAGUAAUGCAUGGGUAACCUACCUUGGGGAUGGGCAUAGCCGUUCUAACGAGCGGGUAAUUCCCAGAGAUUCGGCGGGAGGGCAUCCUUCUACCGGGAAAUGAGUUUCGCCUCGAGAGGGGCCCAUGUGCUAUUAGCUAGUUGGUGGGGAACGGCCUACCAAGGCUAAGAUGGCUAGCGGGUGUGAGAGCACGACCCGCGCCACUGGCACUGAGACACUGGCCAGACACCUACGGGUGCUGCAGUCGAGGAUCUUCGUCAAUGGGCGCAAGCCUGAACGAGCGACGCCGCGUGCGCGAUGAAGGCCUU